ACUGUAACUAUUCUCCGCUCUGCUAUUAAAACAAAAGAUGGUUGAUGGUUGACUGCCACUUUUUUUAUGAAUGCAAAGUUCUGCCUCAAUUGUUCAUAUUUUUUGUUAAAAAAAAUAUUCCAAUCUUGCUUGAUUGUUAAUUUGUCAUAUUUUUUGGCAUGGAGACUAUGCAAUUGUUUGGAUUAAGCGAGACCCAGAUUGUUGGUGUUGCUAUUGCUGCUUUUGUUCUUGCUGUCACAGUUGCCAUUGUUUUCUCGUCCAAGAAAUCCAAAGAUAGGUCAUACUUUCAUCACUGAAAGAUGUUCUCCUCCUAACCCCGACAUUAAUGUUUGGGAGGGCCGUUUCAAGUAUCAACCUGGUCAAGCGAGUGUGAGAGCCUUUGGGAUGCUUGCUGGCGGUUCUGGCAUUAGUCCAAUGUUUCAGGUAGCUAGAGCUGUAUUAGAAAACCUGAACGAUACCACUAAGGUGCAUCUCAUUUAUUCCAAUGUUUGUUUAGAGGACAUGCUUUUGAAGGAAGAGAUAGACAGACUUGCUUCAAACUACCCUGACCGCUUUAAAGUUUACUCGCACUAAAUCAGAAGGCUGAUAAUGAUGUGUACCCCUGCAAAUAUGGGAUGGUGGUGUAGUAUUUGUAACCAGGAAAAGAUCCAAACUCAUAGCCCCUAGCCUGCAUUUGAUAUUCAGGUGGAUUUUGUUCAAUACAACAUAAUAUUGUGAAAAAAUUCCAAAAGUAGCUGAUUCUUUUCUGAGAAAAAUGGCCGAUUUUGAGUUGUGGAUCCCCACUGAUGAAUAAGGCCAUGGCUGCUAACCUUGAAGCCCUGGGAUAUGCACCGGAAACGCAGUUUCAGUUUUGAAAUUGUGAUAAGAACUUGCAUGUGUUCGUCACACAUGCAGUCUUCUGUUGUUUAACCUUCAAUGUACUUUUUGUUAAACAUUUAGCCAUUAAAAACAUAUAUACUUCAGGUGACUUGACCCUUGUCAGAGAGGAUCUUGCCCAGUAUAACUGUUGUGCAAUUUUAUUUCUAGAUCAGCUGAUUUUUUUAAACAAAAUGAGCUUUUUUA